AUGGCCACUGUGGAUGUUUCCCUCUCCCUGAGUGGAUUGGAAUAAACUUGGUGGGCCCUGUAACCCUUUGCAAGAAAGAAUCUGCAAAACGGUGGCCACAAAACUACCUAAGAGCGUGGAGCAGAAAGAGAAUUUGCCAGUUAUGGCAGAGGAAAAGCUGCUUUGCAUACUCUCUGUGGAACAUCAUCUAAGCCUGUCCUUGAGUCCUUUCCAGUGUGCUGAUGAAAAGACCUGCCUCUCUGGCCACUUCCUCCAGAUGCAUGUCACUGAAAUGCAGCAUUUUAUACCAGGCCACAAGGUAACAGAAGCUCACAAUCCAGACAAAUAGUUUCCUGCAACUGUGUCCUGAAGUCCCAGAGGGACAAAACAUGGAAAUGAAUCAGCCGAUAAAGGAUUUUCUCCCAUUGAAGAUGUUGGUGAUUUGUACUGUGUUGCGGAAGCUGAACACUGAGAUGGAUAUUCACAGUCUGUGGAGACCACAGUCUGUCUCCCUCCUGUGGGAUGCAGUUUUUUGGGGGGAGGUAUAUGUGGGAUAAAGAAUAGCAGGCUAAAGGUAUAAUGCUUUAUCUAAGUAUGACAUGAAAUCAUACCAUAGUCUGACCGAAGUAUUUAAUUCUUCCUAAUUUGGGUGAUAAGUCCUUUUAAACAGAUUC